GUUGAUUCAGAGGAAGCUUACAAGAGAGAAAAGGUUCUUCACUAAAAGAUUAACUAUUGUUUUUCAGAUAAGCGGUAUUUACUCAAGUAACACAUUCCUUUUCACUGACUUCUCUGCUUUUUCUCACAUUUAUCCAUUUGAUUUAGCAAGGGCAGAACUCAGAAGCAUGCUUGUGUUAGAUUGAAUCGAUCCCUAGAUGUGUGUUUGUUCUCAUCCCCCCUGUGCACUCAAGGUGACAACUGAAGGCUAAUGUAUCCUGAUGAUAUGGAGCAGUUUGUUCUGCGGUUUUAUAAUUCAUUUAUCUGGUUUUAUAAUUCAUUUUUUAUAUGUUAGAUGAAACCAGUUGCUCAAUCAAAGCUUUAUAUGUUAGAGCCGAUGUAGUUCAUUGUUUUUAGUUUGUUAUUGAGAAGUAGAGAACAUGAGAUUAUCUUGGAAAGACUGUCCAAGUUCUAAUCAUUCUGAUUUAUCUU